CCGCCAGUUGAUAACCCCCAGC
rnacentral:miRNA from 1 species